GACGAACGCUGGCGGCGUGCUUAACACAUGCAAGUCGAACGGAAAGGCACUACUUUUGUGGUGUGCUCGAGUGGCGAACGGGUGAGUAACACGUGAGUAACCUGCCCUUGACUUUGGGAUAACUUCAGGAAACUGGGGCUACUACCGGAUAGGAGACCCUGCUGCAUGGUGGGGGUUGGAAAGUUUCGGCGGUUGGGGAUGGACUCGCGGCUUAUCAGCUGGUUGGUGGGGUAGUGGCUUACCAAGGCUUUGAAGGGUAGCCGGCCUGUGAGGGUGACCGGCCACAUUGGGACUGAGAUACGGCCCAGACUCCUACGGGAGGCAGCAGUGGGGAAUAUUGCACAAUGGGCGGAAGCCUGAUGCAGCAACGCCGCGUGCUGGAUGACGGCCUUCGGGUUGUAAACCGCUUUCGCCUGUGACGAAGCGUGAGUGACGGUAAUGGGUAAAGAAGCACCGGCUAACUACGUG
rnacentral:rRNA from 1 species